GACGAACGCUGGCGGCGUGCUUAACACAUGCAAGUCGAACGGAAAGGCCCUGCUUUUGUGGGGUGCUCGAGUGGCGAACGGGUGAGUAACACGUGAGUAACCUGCCCUUGACUUUGGGAUAACUUCAGGAAACUGGGGCUCAUACCGGAUAGGAGCUCCUGCUGCAUGGUGGGGGUUGGAAAGUUUCGGCGGUUGGGUAUGGACUCGCGGCUUAUCAGCUUGUUGGUGGGGUAGUGGCUUACCAAGGCUUUGACGGGUAGCCGGCCUGAGAAGGUGACCGGCCACAUUGGGACUGAGAUACGGCCCAGACUCCUACGGGAGGCAGCAGUGGGGAAUAUUGCACAAUGGGCGGAAGCCUGAUGCAGCAACGCCGCGUGCGGGAUGACGGCCUUCGGGUUGUAAACCGCUUUCGCCUGUGACGAAGCGUGAGUGACGGUAAUGGGUAAAGAAGCACCGGCUAACUACGUG
rnacentral:rRNA from 1 species